rnacentral:tRNA from 1 species
UAGAAUGAAGCUCGCUGGAUAGAGUGACCUGUUAACUAAAAUAUUACGGGAUCGAGGCCCGUCAUUCUAG